rnacentral:tRNA from 1 species
GGGUCAGUAGCUCAGAUGGUUAGAGCGCGUGCCUUAUAAGCACGAGGUGGGAGGUUCAAUUCCUCCCUGACCCACAA